rnacentral:tRNA from 3 species
GCGAAGGUGGCGGAAUUGGUAGACGCGCUAGCUUCAGGUGUUAGUGUUCUUACGGACGUGGGGGUUCAAGUCCCCCCCUUCGCACCA